AGAAAUCGUAAUAGUGGCGAGAAAGGCGUCUUUUUCUUUUCCCAUUUCGUUCUUCAUUACUUCGUAUAUGGGGGUUGUUCUAUUCAGUACAUGAAUUGUGGAUGAUUAGUUUUCAGUAUUUCCUUUCCGAACCCUAAUUUUGGGUUUAAUUCUUUUCAGAUUAAUGAUUGACUCAGAUUGAAUAGGAAAGCAAGACUGGUGUCAUUGUGCAACUUAAGGUAUUAUUUUGAUAACAACCUUGGGAAAACAUGGGAGAAGCUGUUUACUAGGAAGACUACUAAUGGUUUUUACUGUUGCCUUCAAGAACCCUGGACAUCAUUGUUUGUUCUGCUUGGCCAUAUAGACAUAUAGUGGUGCUAUUAUGGUAUUGAAUAAUCAAAGGGGUAGCAAUUCUCAAUGGUCUAUUGCUGUUUAAGCCAUUGCAGCUGGUACAGAUUGGACAAGUGCAGGUAAGCGUUUUGUACAAUAAUUUAUUGCACACUCAUUCCUCAUUGAUUUCAGGUGAAUACAAGAGUCAGCUAUUAAUAUUUUGCUGAUAAGAUUUGCUAAUUUAAAAUCAAAUCUUUCUUUGGUUGUUGGUUUGUGUACAUUUUACUUGCUGUCUGUGGUCUAUAAUGGCACACUAUGCACAUGCUUGCCCGCCUAAGUAUAUAAUUCAGAGAAUCCAUGAGAAUGUGUAAUCACAAGAUAGUGACUCUCCCUUGAUUGCAGUUAUAAGAUGGCCAAUCUAAGCCAUGAAGUAGGUGGUAAGGUUGUUAUAUAUCGUGAAUGACAUAGUGAUGCAGUUAUGAUCCCAAAUGGUGUAGACUGUAGACAUAUUCUAACAUUGGUAAAGCACAAAGAUAGGAACAGCCUUAUAUAGCAUUUCCAAGGUUGAUAUGCGAUGGAUCUUAAUGAGUUUCUUAUUUAUGGUUGGGACGUUUGCAAUCCCGUGUGCUUUAGGUGGUGUUCUUAAUGUACUUUUUCAAGGGAUAAUGCUGGAUAUGUCAAAAUGUGCAGAACUUAAUUUCACUAGUUUAGUUUGGCUAAGCAUUUUAAAUGAAAAAUUUAGAGGUUGUGGGAGUUUUUAGAUGAACUAAACACAAACAUGUUUGAUCAGAUUGUAGCAUACAUGUCAGGUAAUAAUUCAUGGAUGGAACAACCGAACAGGAAACAAAGAACAAAAAAAAACAAAAACGGCAUGGUAUCCUUGAUGAUCUGUGCACUCUUGAAGGUUAAAGGGGUGUUUACUGGCCUAAAAGAUCCUUCAAAUCCUGAAAUUACAUGUAACCAGCAGACAAUAUUAAGUUUGAAUUUUAUUAGCGAAUCAGCACUGUUUUGCUUAUUAAGAAAUAAGAGAAAAAAAUGUUCAUUACGGCAGUCUACUAUCCAUUUAAUGGGUGCAGGAAAAUACUCAAAAACAUGCAUCCUGACAAGCAUGAAACUCCCUGGAAUCUAUAGCAUAAUUAUGUGCUGACAUGAGAAAUUGAGCGUUAUUUUCUUCUUUCAGUUAAUUAAUUUUUACUGUUUCAUUUUUGUCAGAGUUUAUGUUUGCUAAAAGUGUGUGUGGUUUCCUGCAUCAUAAAGGUGUCUUUAAACUUCCAUCUUUGCUCAAAGUCUCGAUGGAUGUUUCCAAGGGAAUGAAUUAUUUGUAUCAAAACAAUGUAAUCCAGUGUGAUUGAAGGCUGUUAAUCUUCUAAUGGAUGAGAAGGAGGUGAAGGAGACCUAAAUGACAAUAUUUAUUCCGUUUUUGUGUAUCAAGCUAUUGAGGCUGCUGAUUUUGGUGUUGGCAGAGUGCAAGUUCAACUGGAACAUAACAUUGGAUGGCUGCAAGGGGAAAUCAAUUCGAAGCAAGAAAUCGAGUUAUAAGAAUCCUGGUUAUUGUUUGGCGCAGAGAAUAGGGAAGAAAUAUGAUCUUGCUGCCAUCUUUUCAAGUGAUUUUAAUGGAUAAAAUAUCGAGUAUUCAUAUAUACGAUCAAGAGAUAUGGGGUUUGCUUUGGAUGCGAAUUCUCUGCAGGGAAAUCAAUUUGAAGUAACUAAUUGAGACAUGAAGAUAAAAACAAUACCACCAGUUGAAAGACACAAAGUAUUUGAAAGAAAGCCUGAACCAUUACCAGCUUAGUUCCAUUACGUCAUUGUCAUGGGUACGAGGUAGAAUUUGAAGUGGAUGUGGAACUGAAGGUUGGUUAGGGUAAAUGGUUCGAUGUAGAGGACGAUAUCAUUCCUGCUCUUGAGAAAGGUGCUAGCUGUUUAGUGGAGAGCAGCGUACGGAUUCAGUCAGUAUCAUAGGUGGUGGUUUUGGCGGUAUCUCAGUCUCUCUCGCUCUUCAUGAUGCCUCCAUUCAGGUUGCGGGAAAUUAGCAAAGGUAUGGACAAGGUUACCCCCAGUUAAUAUCAUGGCUAACAGUGGAUGGUUAUGAUGGGGAUUGCAUUACGAAUCUGAUCAUAUGGGGAGGUAAAUCUUGCUUCUGUCACAUACUAAGACAAGUCUUUUUAAUCACGGACCUGUGGCGCAAUGGUAGCGCAUCUGACUCCAGGUCAGAAGGUUAUGUGUUCGAUUCACGUUAGGUCUAACUGUCGAUAUUUAACAGUGUUCUUCAAAUAAUUCGAGUGUUGUUUUCUACUCUAGUUGAGAUUCUUACAGUUUAGACUGUUAUCUUGGUUUUUGUAUAUAAGUUGUACUGAGCAGGCAGGAAACUUAUGCUCUGUAUGCAAUGCAUAUUUUACACGUGUGAGGUAAGUCAGUUUGGUAUGCCGUGAAUUCAUUAUUUUUGUUGGUCGUAAUGUCGCUGAACACUUUGUUACAGACUCUUCGAAUAUGUUCUUACUACAUAAACUAAAUUGUGGAGGUUACUGUAGAGGUCAUAACCAUAUUGCCCAAUUCCAGAGUCGAGGCAUCCUUAUAUUAAGUUUGAGAUGCAUCAGUGGUAUUUGUUAAACUUCUGAUGAAGUCUUGAUACAGUUUGAAAAUCUCUACUCAUUAGGUUCAUAAUUCUAAAUUUAAGUUUAUGUAUAUGUUGUAGUUCUAUUCAAAAAAUUGUUACCUGCAAUCAAUACCACUAAAUCUAAUGAUAUUUCCAAUAAUAUACAUGAUCAUUGAUUUGGCUAGAUUCAUAUUGGAAAACCCCAUAUUUGUUAAAAACAUUCUCAAUAAACUGAAAUUUUCUACAUGCCUUUUCAGACUAUUUACAUUGAUGUUUCACUUUUGAAUUGACUGAAAUCAAGAUUCUGAUUCGAUAACCCUAUACGAACAAUGUAUCAUUUACACUUCUUGAAGAGUGUGUUAUCAAUAUUGAGGGGAUUUUGCGGGUUAAGAUCUGAGAAUAGAGCCAUGUAAAACUAUUGAGUUCUCCUCCUGUGGAUUAUCCCAGUGAAGUUUGUAGAUGGUCUUUGUUGGCUAAUUAUUCUACAUAUUUUCUACCUUAUUGGAGGGUUCAUGGACAGACACAAAUAGUGCCGAGCAACCCAAGGUGAAGUUCGAGGUGGUAGUCCCAGGUGAGAUAUGCUUUGACAAAUUUGUAGGACUUCAUUUGCGUCUUUUUAUCGGUAUCAUUUUCUUGAAUAUAGGUGUACGUCGUCAUCUGUGGUGCAAACCAGAUUCAGGCAGACUCGGAUAUAAGCAUAGCACCACUAACUGGAGGAUUGCGUAGGUUCUUUAAAGGGGACAAAAGCAUCUACGGCGACAAAGAAACAAGACAAACAAGACAUAACAGAGGUCCAGGUACGCUGUAGAGUUUCAGUGAAAAAUCACUUUUUUUUGGAAAUACGCGUUCAGGUAUACUUUCCGGUGGUAGUAGCAUAAUGUAUUGUAUUGCGGAGUUACAACUAAUUCCCAGCUUUUGAUCCAAUAAAUGGUGUCUCCAUUGUAUUGUGGAUUUACAACUGAUUCCCGGCUUUUGAUCCCAUAAGUGGAGUCUCCAUAAUAAGGCGCCUCAUCGUAUCCCGCUUGCCAAUUUACUAUCAUAAAGGUGACAUGGGAAGUUUUAGAAUUUGUACAGAUGAACCCGGAGAUGCAUCGUUUUAGAAAUGGUUCAGGACGCUUCACCACUUCCUUGUGCUAUAUAGAACUUAAGAGAUUGCAAUUGCUUCACUAUCCAAAUCCAAAUGAAAUAAAUGCAUUUCAGCCAUCAUGAAGAAAGCUUAUAAUUACAUAUUUGUAGUUUUGAGGUUACCACGUUCGCUUGCAAAACUCACAUGAUACUAAAAUUUUGACA